GUGGGGAAUAUUGGGCAAUGGGCGAAAGCCUGACCCAGCAACGCCGCGUGAAGGAAGAAGGUUUUCGGAUUGUAAACUUCUGUCCUCAGGGAAGAAGGAAGUGACGGUACCUGAGGAGGAAGCCCCGGCUAACUACGUGCCAGCAGCCGCGGUAAUACGUAGGGGGCGAGCGUUGUCCGGAAUGACUGGGCGUAAAGGGCGCGUAGACGGCUGUCUAAGUCUGGAGUGAAAGUCCUGCUUUCAAGGUGGGAAUUGCUUUGGAGACUGGAUGGCUUGAGUGCGGAAGAGGGAAGUGGAAUUCCCAGUGUAGCGGUGAAAUGCGUAGAGAUUGGGAAGAACACCAGUGGCGAAGGCGACUUACUGGGCCGUAACUGACGUUGAUGCGCGAAAGCGUGGGGAGCGAACAGGAUUAGAUACCCGUGUAGUC
rnacentral:rRNA from 1 species